CCUACGGGAGGCAGCAGUGGGGAAUCUUGCACAAUGGAGGAAACUCUGAUGCAGCGAUGCCGCGUGAGUGAAGAAGGCCUUUGGGUUGUAAAGCUCUUUUGUAGGGGAAGAUAAUGACUGUACCCUAAGAAUAAGGUCCGGCUAACUUCGUGCCAGCAGCCGCGGUAAUACGAAGGGACCUAGCGUAGUUCGGAAUUACUGGGCGUAAAGCGCGCGUAGGCCGUUGAGUUAGUUAAUUGUGAAAUCCCAAAGCUUAACUUUGGAACUGCAAUUAAAACUGCUCGACUAGAGUUUGAUAGAGGAAAGCGGAAUACAUAGUGUAGAGGUGAAAUUCGUAGAUAUUAUGUAGAACACCAGUUGCGAAGGCGGCUUUCUGGAUCAACACUGACGCUGAGGCGCGAAAGUAUGGGUAGCAAAGAGGAUUAGAUACCCUCGUAGUCCAUACCAUAAACGAUGAUUGCUAGAUGUUGGAAAUUUAUUUCAGUAUCGCAGCUAACGCAUUAAGCAAUCCGCCUGGGGAGUACGACCGCAAGGUUAAAACUCAAAGAGAGUAAGUAGNGUUGAGAGNGACGACGCGACGACGAGGAGGAG
rnacentral:rRNA from 1 species